ensembl:lncRNA
UCCGUGUGUCCCUGUCUGUCCGUGUGUCCCUGUCUGUCCGUGUGUCCCUGUCUGUCCGUGAGUCCCUGUCUGUCCGUGAGUCCGUGUGUCCCUGUCUGUCCCUGUCUGUCCGUGAGUCCCUGUCUGUCUGUGAGUCCCUGUCUGUCUGUGAGUCCCUGUCUGUCUGUGAGUCCGUGUGUCCCUGUCUGUCCGUGUGUCCCUGUCUGUCCGUGUGUCCCUGUCUGUCCGUGAGUCCCUGUCUGUCCGUGAGUCACUGUCCGUGUGUCCCUGACACUGUCUGUGUGUCCCUGUCUGUCUGUGUGUCCCUGUCUGUCUGUGUGUCCCUGUCUGUCAUCUCAAAUUGUUCUCUCAACCUGUGUCCACCUACAUUGUAAACUUUCAUUCAUAGGCCAGGUUGUAGCAACCUCAUGAAGGGUACAGGGAACAUUCUAGUAUCAUGUAGUAAACCUAAACCUAUCAUUGAACUGGGUGAAUAUGAAUGACAGUAGCCUAAACCUAUCACUGUUACAUUAAGCUGGGUGAAUGGAAUAUGAAUGACAGUAACCUAAACCUAUCACUGUUACAUUGAGCUGGGUGAAUAUGAAUGACAGUCAUCCAAUAGGCUGUAAUAAGUAAGGCCGUGCUCAUAAAGAAUAAAGAACCGUCCUCCCUCAUCUUAAACGACACUGAUCGCAACCGGCAUAUCAUUGUUUAGUUUCUUUGGCCUUCAGAGGCUGAGCUACAACCUCCUGUAGCCGAGGAGACAAACGAUUGACUUUGCUUGGGAAGUAAUCUAAUUCUUGUCACUAUCAAUUGAUUGAUUAAGCGAUUCACUUUCUGUACAACAGAAGAUGUUUAAACCCAGACAGGUUUUAAAGGGAAACACUUGUGACCUUCUCUUGUUGAGUUAAGCCAUGGAAGAAUAGUAGCCAGUAGUUAAAGUUGUCAAUGUUUCUGUGUCGGUAGGCCUACUCUGUCUGGGGUGGAAUGGUAGGCCUACUCUGUCUGGGGUGGAAAGGUAGGCAUACUCUGUCUGGGGUGGAAAGGUAGGCCUAACUUUUGAAAGUACCAUGCUCAGAUUCCUAAUGGCAUCUCAGACUUAAAUAUUUCCAAAUGGGGACAGUUUUGACAAUGUGAUUUUCUGGAUUUUUUUUCUCAUUUUGUCUGUCAUAGUUGAAGUGUACCUAUGAUGAAAAUUACAGGCCUCUCUCAUCUUUUUAAGUGGGAGAACUUGCACAAUUGGU